rnacentral:rRNA from 1 species
AUGCGCGUGCUGGGGCUGCGGAGGCUCACCGCCGGAUGUGUCCUCGUUCCCCCGCAGCCCGACAACGAUCGCUUCCACGGCGAGAUCGCGCGCAUUCGGGCCUCCCUGCCGGAGGAGGUGCGGGGCCACCCGGAGUACACCGCCAACAACCACAUGCAGUGGGCGGCGUACUUCCAAUGCCGGCAUGAGGAACAGCUGGCCUCCACCAACAACGGGCCGGUGAGGGGGGUCCACAACACCGACAGCCACCGCCCAUGGUGGGGCGUCCCCGGGUGCACGCUCCACUCCGUCCUCAAGCACCUCGAGGGCGGCAACGAGCCGCCAUUCGAGUACCCAGCGACCCCGGAACUGGAUGGCGACCAAUGCAAACGUAUUGUGCAGUCAAGGUGUAUGGAAUCGUCUGAUGUACAAGGGACCUCUUCCUUGCCUGAUCGGGUGAAAGAUGAGCAAAUGGAGACCCCUCUAUGUCCAUCAAAGCAGCUGCCGGAUGCACACCCCAUCAAACCAAAAGUAGAGCCUUGCGAGAACUCACUGUCACCAGCUCCAGAUGCCAGCGAAGAUUGUGAGACCACCCCACUCUCCUGCAACCACCCCUUCUUCACCGUCAUUCUGUCAAGGUCUCAUGUUCAGAAGCCGUUUCAGCUGUACAUUCCAGGUCGCUUCCACAAGCACCUCCCGGAGGAGCGCACUUCCGCCACCCUCAUCUGCCGUGGGAGGUCAUGGGCCAUGCGCUACUGUGGUGACUUGAAGACGAAAAGGCUGGAUGCAGAUUGGAUGGACUUCGCUGUCGACAACCGGCUGCAGGUCAGCGAUGCCUGUGUCUUCGAGCUUGUGACUGGCACCAGAGAGGAGGUGGUGUUCCAGGUACAGAUACUACGCGGCGGCCUGCCGAAGGAUAUCACCUCUAAAGGUUACACCGCCGACGAGCCUCUGGUCAUUGUGGGUUAG